UACGGGGGGGGCAAGCGUUGUUCGGAAUUACUGGGCGUAAAGGGCUCGUAGGCGGUCAACUAAGUCAGACGUGAAAUCCCUCGGCUUAACCGGGGAACUGCGUCUGAUACUGGAUGGCUUGAGAUUGGGAGAGGGAUGCGGAAUUCCAGGUGUAGCGGUGAAAUGCGUAGAUAUCUGGAGGAACACCGGUGGCGAAGGCGGUUCUCUGGGCAUUACCUGACGCUGAGGAGCGAAAGUGUGGGGAGCGAACAGG
rnacentral:rRNA from 1 species